GGUAGGGUAAUGGCCUACCAAGCCUAAGACGGGUAGCUGGUCUGAGAGGAUGAUCAGCCACACUGGAACUGAGACACGGUCCAGACUCCUACGGGAGGCAGCAGUGGGGAAUCUUGCGCAAUGGGCGAAAGCCUGACGCAGCGACGCCGCGUGAGUGAUGAAGGCCUUCGGGUUGUAAAGCUCUGUGGGGAGAGACGAAUAAGGCAUGGCUAAUAUCCACGCUGAUGACGGUAUCUCCUUAGCAAGCACCGGCUAACUCUGUGCCAGCAGCCGCGGUAAUACAGAGGGUGCAAACGUUGCUCGGAAUUAUUGGGCGUAAAGCGCAUGUAGGCGGCAUGGUAAGUCGACUGUGAAAGCCCUUGGCUCAACCAAGGAAGUGCAGUCGAAACUGCCAAGCUUGAGUCCCGAAGAGGGUGGCAGAAUGGCCAGUGUAGAGGUGAAAUUCGUAGAUAUUGGCUAGAAUACCAGUGGCGAAGGCGGCCACCUGGGAGGG
rnacentral:rRNA from 1 species